ACAUGCCUACAACAUAGUGUUAAUGCACCAGAUCACAUUAGAACUCCGCAGUUAAGCACACUCAUGCUAGAGUAGUACUGGGAUGGGUGAUCACCCAGGAAGUCCUAGUGUUUUACAUGCC
rnacentral:rRNA from 1 species